rnacentral:rRNA from 1 species
UGGGGAAUUUUGGACAAUGGGCGAAAGCCUGAUCCAGCAAUGCCGCGUGUGUGAAGAAGGCCUUCGGGUUGUAAAGCACUUUUGUCCGGAAAGAAAUCCUUGGCUCUAAUACAGUCGGGGGAUGACGGUACCGGAAGAAUAAGCACCGGCUAACUACGUGCCAGCAGCCGCGGUAAUACGUAGGGUGCAAGCGUUAAUCGGAAUUACUGGGCGUAAAGCGUGCGCAGGCGGUUUGCUAAGACCGAUGUGAAAUCCCCGGGCUCAACCUGGGAACUGCAUUGGUGACUGGCAGGCUAGAGUAUGGCAGAGGGGGGUAGAAUUCCACGUGUAGCAGUGAAAUGCGUAGAGAUGUGGAGGAAUACCGAUGGCGAAGGCAGCCCCCUGGCAAGUACUGACGCUCAUGCACGAAAGCGUGGGGAGCAAACAGGAUUAGAUACCCUGGUAGUCCACGCCCUAAACGAUGUCAACUAGUUGUUGGGGAUUCAUUUCCUUAGUAACGUAGCUAACGCGUGAAGUUGACCGCCUGGGGGAGUACGGUCGCAAGAUUAAAACUUAAA